CUGGACUUGGGAGUUCCUGAGCCCAGCCUAGGCAGUAGGCAGAGAAAAACCGGGGCCCAUUCUUUCUCAAAUCAAAGCGCCUCAAAUGUGGAGAGGAGGAGGAGGGGACAAAUGCAAUGCACACUUGUAGAUAGACACAAGCCUGCUUUUUCACUCAACACUGACAUAUGUUAAGAACCCCAGCACUAUGCUGUUGCCUCAUCUAACCUGCACGAUGACACUUAAUUUUCUGUAUCUACUGGCACUUUCUGCCAUUAAACUAAUCACAGUAUUUCUGUUCAGCGAAGUUGAAAAACUAGAUACAAAAUCUACUGUCCAUUCAUUGUAACUCAACAUGCUCCUACGUGCAAAAAAGUGACCCACCUAUGGACACCAACUUGAUGUUCUCCUUGUCCAGGAACUCCAAGGCCACGGACACGUUCUCCAGCUGCAUCUGACGGAAGGUGGGCCUCUGGUUGUACUUUCGAAACAUCUUCUUCUGGGACAGGACCUCCAGAAGUCCGAUGAGUCGCAGCCCAUCGCUGAGGUCCGUCUGCAAGUUGCCAAUACGCUUGUUGACGCAUUUCAGGUGCUCGUUACACCAGCGAGUGAAUGUGUUUUGCUGGAUCUUCUUCCACGGGGCGUCCUCGGCCAGGUCUUUCUCCGUGGCGGGCAUCUCUACGUCCUUAUCCGUGGAGAGAGCGUUGGGAGCGGGCGCGGCGCUCUGGUGGAGUCGGGGGUGGGAACCACUCAUUUUUAUGGUGUCGGCUGUCUCUCGGUUCGCUGACUUGUUUCUGGGUGGAGUCUGUUCAACUUUUCUUUCUCGCUGCCACUCGCCUCGUCUGUUUGACAGAAAACAAUCAAGUUGAAGACGAUGAACACCGCAGGGAAGACUUAUUAUAGCGUGGAGCACAUUUUAUAAAAUCUAACGACAAAACAUUUUUGACGAAAGUACACCAGCGAACAUUAAAAUUCCUCAAGCAAACAUGACAGUCUACCUUGACGAAAGUGCACCAGCGAACAUUAAAAUUCCUCAAGCAAACAUGACAGUCUACCUUAUCAACCCAGGUGCGUAUUCUCCCGCUAGCUAACUGUGAAACAUAAGCCUAUUAGACAUGGGUUUCAUAUCCACAGCUGCCAUUCGUGACCCGAUUAACUGACAUUUUUCCACCCCAAGUGACUAACGCAUCCUUCCUAAAGAAUCAAAGAAUCAAAACUUGUAACUGAGUUAAAAAGUGCCAGCGGGCCAACCACACCCAAUCUGCCACACAGCCAGCAGAAGAAGUGAUGAACACAGCAAAUGCCUGUGAUGAUCCACGUCCAACAAACCACCCAUGUGUGAAAACCACCAGGGGGUAAUAAGGACUUGUUUAAAAGUUAAAGGCCUCCAAAGACGAAGAAAUAGUCCCUCCACUCUUCUGAGGUCCAGUGCUUUAAUUGGUGGACGAGUGGUGCAUCAGAUGGGCUGUGGGGGUGUGACCGACUGCUCCAACUCUUCCGCUGUACCGCGCCUCUUCUUUCGCAAGUGACGUCACAGCCGCGCCUAAAGGCUCUCAAAGGAGUGAUGUCAUCGCGUCGUGCGGUACACGUUACCUUUAUCGUGACCCUGUGGUGUGUGUGUGUGUGCGCGUGCAAGAGACCUAGACACCCCCCCCCCAAUCCCCCCAGCUGAGUGUGCCUUGCUCAGGAGGCAAGAAUGUUCUGCUUACAAUUCAUCAGUGGUGGGAGGACAGAAGCAGAGGAGGAGUGGAGAAAGAAGGAAGAGAGGACGGAUGGAGCAUGAAAGAAAAAAGAUAAAGAGAAGAACUAGGAAGGAGAAAGAAUUGAUGACUCUGGAAACGCUAUGAAAACUUCUACUUAUAAACCAGCUUUUUGGUGUGCAUGUGUGUGUGUGUGUGUGUGUGUGUGUGUGUGUGUGUGUGUGUGUGUUGUAUUAAUUACAGACAGAUGUUUGCUGUUGGGCUUCUGAGCCAGGCGGUCAGUGACAUCAUCCAUGUGGAGCUGGUAGAAGUUACAUUACCAGAUCUCACACACAAUAUUUUCAGACUGAUGUGGCUUUUUCCGGGAAAUACUAACAAAUAGUAAAAUAGCACAAAGAAAUCUAUAUAAUGAAUAUACCAAGAUCAAAAUGCACACAUGUGAAGUCAGAAUAUCAAGUCACUAAGAAUAUGCCACUGUCUCCCUCGGUAUCGCCGUAAAACGGGGGUCUCAAACACGUGGCCCGCGGGCCUUGAUAUGAAAGUUUAAUGUUAGUGCGGCCCACGCAAGUUUGAUAAGGAUGCUGUAUGGUAUCAUGUACCCAGAAAAAAUUAUUACGUUUGAUAAAUGUUCAUGUUAAAGGUUAAAUAACUGUUAAUAGUUAUCCUCCCUAUCCGUGUGGAAGUGGUAAGUUUUUGGCUAUUUAAGUUUAAAGGAAAUAACUUGGAGGCUACCGUUUAGGUCGCUAGCUCUCUAGUUUGCGAGUUAGCAUGUGUCUCAAGACCCUGCAGUUGCGCAAUAUGUUGUAAAUAAAAAGAGUAUAAAUGUGACUAUAGUCGUGUUUUGUCAUGUCUACAGGGCUCUAAUAAUGCUUUGUUAAUUUUAAUCUGAAAAAAAUAAUUUGUCUACCCACCAACUAUAUGUGGUUUCUUAAGUUUUUAUUAUUUGCUGUUUUAUUAUUAUUAUUAUAUGUAUUUAUUACUGAUUGAUUGAUUUUCUUUAUUCUUGAUUUGUUUAUUUAUUUUUCAUCUUAUUUUGUGUAGAAAAAUAAAAAAAGAUAUUUGAGAACAGUGGAAUGUUUUAUCAGAGCUUUUCUUGUAGAAAAUUGGAACCAAAGCAAAGUUUUUUUAUUUUAUUUUUUUAAUAAAUGCGUUUUUUUUUUGGGAAAACCUGAUGCGGUCCAGUCUCACCCAGACCUGAGCUCCAGUAAAUUGAGUUUGAGACCCCUGCCGUAAAACAUCCCUCACAUUUCAGCAACCAUUUUAAUCACAUGAUAAAAGUACUGUUUUAAAGUAAUGAAACUUGGUGAUGCUGUAGUAGUCAGUGUACUACAGAUAAUUUUACCAUAAAGAAAUCCAGCAUGUUCUCACCUCCAACUUGAAGGAGCCCAAACAGGGAGACUCAUGACAUGCUGAGGAAGGUGAAGGUGAUGGAGUGGCCACCUAUAUUUUAGCGUAUUAGUUGGUUUUCCAAGUUGCACACUCUUUUGUCCCUUGAGAUGAUAUAAUAAAAUGGUUGCUGAAAUGUGAUUUACUCACGUUUGUGAGAUAUGAUGGCACAUGUGCAGGUGUACAGUAUCUACGUAGUGAAACUCAAAACAAUUACUGUAUAGAUCCUAUAUUUUAUUAAUAUACACAUUUUUUCUUCAAUUUUCAAUUCAUAGCUCAGGCCUCAUUCUGGACUACCAGACUAAAUUCAGUAUCUCAUGAGACAUCAACCAGAUGUGAGGUUAUUUGUUCAUCCACAUCACUUAUCUCCAAUACCCUUUAAUCUAUCCAAGCUGCCUUUGGGCUAGAGGGCUAGGGUACACCCUAGGCUGAUCAAUCACAAGACACACGGGGCCAGACAUUCAUAUUCACACCAUUGAACAAUUUAGAGUCCUCAGUGAACCGCAGAACAUGCAGAAAGGCUCAAAUAAACAAAUAAAGCUCCACGAUGCUGCUAUGUGAAUUUUAAUUGUUAGUUAAAUCUGUCAGUUCACAGUCAAAAAAGCUUUGAUGUCAGCCAUCUUUAAUGUAAUCAGGUUAAAAGGACACUCCACUCUUGGGGAAAAACACUUUAUUACAUGUAAAAUGUGAUGUAAGAAUGUUCUAUGUGAAGUAUUUCCAUAAUGCCUCAUAUUAACUCUCUAGCAAGAUCUCAGUGUAUAGACUGGUCAUAUAUCUCAUCUCGUUUCAUAUUAUCUACAUACUGUAUUGUAUAGAACUCUGGGAAAAACUGUUGAUUUUGUUAAUACUUGGGUUGUUUAUAUUGUUUAUUUUUCUAUAUUGUGUAUUUUGUACUGCUUAACUGAUUCUGUACUCUUGCUGCUGUGCAAUGCAAAUUUCCCCACUGAGGGACGAAUAAAGGCAUAUCUUAAUAUCUUAAUCUUUCUUUUUUGCCUAUAGACUAUU